UGCUUUUGUAGUUCUUUGUGCAACUUCUCAUAGGGGCUCGUCCCUAGAUCCCGUGUUUUGGAAAGUUCUUCAGAGGCUCCUCCAAAGAGCAGUUCUUUUCCUGGUGUUUCAGCAGCUUUGUAGCAGUUGGUGAAUGUCUGCCAUGUGGUUUAAGCUCAAGGAAUGUUUAUUUUUUUCCUGAUAUCUUCUUUCCUGCCAUGCAUGUUUUUACAGCCUUUUAUGAAACUUCUUUGUUAGUUUUGGAAUUAUAACUCCUUUCAUUGAAAACACCAUUCUGAAGAUAUCUGAAGCUUUUAUAAAUAUAAAAAGUAUUCAAUAUAUCUAAACUUGUAAGUCAUACGUGCUUCUACACUCACAAUUCAAUAUCACUCCUAGAUAAUCUGCAUUGUUGCCUGUUGUAACUACAUCUUUCCUCGUGUACCAACAUCCUAUGCUCACUCUAUGUUCAAAACCUUUGAACAAUGUUCACUUUCCAAUUUUUUCAACACCUCAGAUGUAUUUUUAACUAUUCCUUGCUAUACCUGAUAAUACUAAUUUUCUUAAUAAUUAAUAGUAAUUUGCCUUUCAUUUCCAUUAUUUAAUCUGCUUAUUUACAAGUUCAAGCACACAUUUACAAGGUACGUAUUUAUAUAGUUGAACAAGUCUAUGUUGUGUUACUCAAAAUAUUGAUGCUUUGCAAUUGUUAGUCAUGUAAUUAUCCUAAACGUAAUAAAUCAUUUCUUUGCCCUUUUAUUUUUAUUUUAUGGGCUCUAACUUUUACUUGUACCAGCAUUGAUGUAAAUAGUAAAUACUAAGGUAAUUUUAAACAGUUAUUUAAAUGGAACUUACCUUCCCAAAUGUAGUGCUUCGUAAGCCUUUUUUUUUUUUUUUUACCUAACUGUCAGGUAACCCUAAAUGAGAGAUCCUGGAAGCAUUAAGGAACUUACAAAUAGUACCUUUGAAAACUAAACCACGUGUCCAUAUUUUCUCUGUGGUUUUGGUUUGUUUUGUUGGUUAGUUUUUUAUUCCAUUAGGAGUUUUCCUGGUGGUAGUCUAACCACCUAGACUGAGUUGGACACCAUUUCAAGAAGAAGGAAACUUAUUUCAACCCAGUGAAGUAGUAACUACGUGGGGCUUCACCAGGAAUUAUUUUGACAUGUGAAUAUUUUACUUGCUUUGAGUUGUUGUAUGCAUAUAAUUGUACUAUUUUACAGCUAUAUAUUCUAAAUCACAUUACUUCUCUGGAAUUUAGCCAGUCUUAUGGGAAGGAGCAGGACCUUCAACGUGCUAUGAUGGUUUUUCAGCUCACUGUCUCAAAAUCUGACCUGUUUGAUCAGGGAAUGGGGAAGAACCCAUGAAUGAAGUUUCUGGCUAUUAAAAUAAAAUGAAAAAUGUAGCCCACUCUUCCUCAAACAUCACCAUUUUUUCAUUUUAAUAUUUUAAUGGAUUUUUCUUUUCUCCUCAUGUAGCUGGGGUCAAGCCUUGCUUCUUCUCAUCUAUCAAGUCAUCUUAGCUUUGCAGAAUUCCUGCCAGCAAAUGUGCAGACCUAUAACCAAGCAAUAUUGAAAUUACCAAUGAAAGAGCUUUAUUCUUCUAAGCAUAUUUGCCAAACACUCUGACUGAGAGAUUAAAAUACACGUUUGAAGCAAAUUUGGCUAGGGCUUUGCAGGCAGACAUACUAACUUGAACUGCUGGUACCAUCCAUUCAGGCUUCAUCCCUUGCAGCAGGCUGAAAACAUCCUGCAGAUCUCUUGCUGCUCCAACAAGCUUUGUCCUGUUUCUUUAUUCUUUUGCAAUUACUUAUUUAUACUUUUUUGGUGUGUGUGAGAACCUAGUAUCUGUUUGAUGCAAGAUCACUAACAAUUUUGUAGAGGAAAAUAAAUGAUGUGUGUACUCCAUUGACACGCAAGAGUAGCGAUUGAGCAUGCUUCAGUGCUCCCACCUGUAGCACAACUGAUUAAGUGUGGAAAGGAUGAAAGAAGAUGAAAACACAUUGAGCAGAGGAACUGAAAGUGCAUGAGGCCAAGAGGCUCCUAAUGUGAGUAACUGUUACUAGACUAAUAGGAGGUAGUCAUAAUAUUUUUAGUUUAUAAGGUUGUUAUUGAUGUAAAAUGCAGAAAUAAAGGAUGAGAAGCAGAAAUCAGAGGGAGAUAUUCUUCAUCAAUCAUCAGAACCUCAGUUGUAAUGCCAUGAGAGUAAAGGGCAUCUAUAAAUGAGGCUGGGACUCAGAUCAUUUGUCUUCCGUAGUUACUAACGGAUCUGUAGUCCUUACCCACUAUUUCCUCUUGGAAGGCAUUUGUACUUCUGUCCUCCACAACAUCCUAUGGCAGUAUUCUGAGCUCUGAUCACUCAGCAUAUUGUCUUUAAGAGCAUGGGGACAUCUGCAUGAUUUAGGGAAUGUAAAGAUGGGUAUUUCUAGCAUACAGAGAAGCAUGUCAGAAAUACCUUUCCAAGGGAGGCAGGUUCUAGGAAUGGCUGUGUGCACCAACCCUCCAGUUCCUCUUGCCUCCUCCAGUGUAGGAUCUUAGAAAGGCUUGGGUUGGAAGGGACCUUAAAAAUUAUCUACCCCCACCACGCACUCCUCUGGUGAGAUUCUCUGGGAAAGUGAGCUGUUAUUCUUGAGUAAUCCAGGAUAGAGUGGAUGGGAAGUGUUGGGAAAGAAGCUGGAAAGAGGCAUUCUGGGAAGCUCAAGUAGGCUUGGUGUGCGCUGGUAAUGUAGAAGGAAGCAUGUGGAAACACCCAGGGGGAAAAAAUGACAGAUUUACAUCUUGGAGUUAUUUCAGACUCUGUUAUUCUCCAUGGGGAAUUCCCAUUCAGCUAAGAACAGUACCAUUCUUAUAAAAUAUUUCAGGGUAACACUGUAAUACAACUCUGUAUUAGAAUCUCUAGUUAGACUGUAGAAUAUUGAGAAGAUACAAGAGUUAUCCAUCUCAAUAAGGCUCCUUAAGAAUCACUGUUAGUGUGGCUGGAAGGGGAAUUGUCAGGGUACCAUGACAUUAACAAAGGUUUCUCAAGAGCAGCCUUAACUCUUAUUUUAAGUAUUUCUACUAAUGGUUUCAACACUAGCAAAAAGGCAGACCUGACAAACUCAAUUGGGAAGCAUCGCCAGAGAAAGACCAAAGAUGCAAGAGGACCAAGGGACUGUGGAAACGCUGCCUAAACUUCAGUAGAAAACGGGCUGGAUCUUGAGUGAUGGUUCAGCCGGAGGUGUUUGCAUGUGUGUGUAUGCAAGCUCCUUCAAAUAGGGAGAGAUGUGUGGGUUUGCUGGUAUUCAGUUGAAGUGCAGAGUUGGUCAUCGUUCAGGGAUGGGGAAUUCUAUAAGUACAUUUCCACCUGGUUGGAGGGUAUGGAGAAGACAAGCAAACUUGUGCUGGUGCUGCACAGGGAGAGGCAGUGGCACUGGGUGGAAAAUAAACGUUCUAGUUGGAUGCAAGGAAAACAAAAUUACCACGGUGCUGAUGGGUCAGUGGAGAGGCUAUAAAAUGUGUCCUGGAGGUGUGUGAGACUUAGCUGACCAGUGCUGAGCAUACUGCCCUACUGGACCCUGUCUGGGAAAAGCUGGGCUGCAGCCUUCAUAGAUCCUUCCCAACAUCUACUCUGUGCUUAGUAACUUUUCUUGAUCAAAAAUGUUGGGUUGUAUAGUCAUAAUAAGUGUGAACUUACAGAUCUGGAUCUCAGCUCAUUUCUUACAGAACUAUAUUUUCACAUAUUUGUUUUCUACGGCAAAAAUGUUUUGAAUUUCUGUGCAUAAGGUUUUGUUUCGCUGUUGUGGGCUGAGAUUUCUGUUGUUUGCCAUUAUUUUUGAUAUCAAAGAUUUUGAUGUUUGCAAUUAUUUUCUAUGCAGAGGUUGCUAGAAUCAGAUUAAGAAACCAGGUAUUUUCUGCAGCCUUUUAGUACCAAAGCCUCAGACAUGGUAGCGUGUGAGGAAACAGAUAGGAAAGUUUUCAGUGGGUUGCACUGGGGUCCUAAAAGGGGCAUCCCUGACUGCAUGGCUUACAGCAGAGCCAGGCCUUCUCCCCUGUGCUCCUUCAUCUGUUCUCAUAAGGAAAUGGUGUUGCAGAAAGGCUAAGGAAGGAGAAUGAGCAAGGCAAGACUUAACAGCCUACGUGUAUCUGAAAUUGUAAAUAACUAAAGAUAAAAAGGAAAUAUUCGGGGGAGCGUAGGGGCUUAUAGCUAGAAAUAAAGCAGUGAAAUGAAGAAAGAGAAGAUUAAGGCUAAAUGUCAUGAAAGAGCAUUCUGCAACAGUAGUGGUUUUUUAGAUGACUCUUCCAAAGAAAGCAAAGAAAAAAAGGUUUUAGGACAAAGGCCCUUUAUUCCUUUUUCUUUUUUCCCUGUUUCUUUCCUUCAGCUUAACCACUCUAUGUAAAAUAAUCUCAUAUGGGUAUAUAAAAGAAUGUAUUAAAUUUUUUCAGGCAUGAAUGUGAAUCUCUACAUCCUUGGAGCUGUCGUGAUGAUGCCUGAAUCUCGUGCAGCUUCACCAAGCCAAAGGCACAACCUUUGUCACCCACAUCUCAGGGCACAGAGUUCCAAUGCUGCAGUGAAAGUAAGGAGCUGGGUAGUUGAGGAUUUAGUUUUUACAUAAGUUGCAUAACAGAGAGAGUGAAAACCUGUGUUUGGGCUGCAGUGAGUGGAGAAGAAAGGAGGAAGAUUGGAAGAAAUAAAGCUUGUCGGGGAGUGUUGCUUUCUUUUUCGGCUGGGUGUUGAUGCUGCCCCUUAUAUAUCACUCGUAGGACCCAGAUGGCAAUUCCAGCUGCAACUGGUCCUAUCUUAUUGGAGGUUAGAAUCGUUGUAAAAAAGCAAAGAGGGUAUUUGUGGUUGGCUAACUGCUAAGAGGAAGUAAAGAAAUAAACCAAAAUCCCGAAGUUAAACUUUGGAGUGGGUUAAAUAAGUGCUAAUUCUUUGCAAUAUCAUAUUUUGACACAGAUAUUCUUCACUCAGCUGACAGUGGCUUUUGAUGUCUAAAACAUCUUUCCUUUAACUUUAUCUCCCGAACCAUGGAAUUGUGCAGAGUGAAGUUGCUGGCAUUGGUGAUGUUGCAUCUGUGUGCUAAUGAAAUGGUCCAGAUAAAGCUUCUUUUUUUUUUAAUGUGGACUGUGAUGAAACUCCUGUAUGUUUUAGCUGAAUACUUUGCUGCUUUUCCUUUACUUCUUUCACUUCUCAGUGCAGUAUUCCAGCUGAACCUUGCUAAUCUGACAGCUCUUUGCUACCAGUCUGGCUGCAGCUGGAGACAGCCUGAGCUCCAAGCCUCUGUGGUAUUUUCUCUGUACUUGGAGAUGUUACGUGAUACUUUCUCCUACAUAACAAAAAUCACUAAAUCUUGCUAAGAGUUAAAGCACAACUUUUCCUUGGGCUCGAAAGCCUCUGCUGCCCCAUGAGGGUCUUCAUAAGCUGCAGACACUUCAUCUUGCCCUUUCCUGGAGGGUAACCUGUCUUAGCAAUUCCUUCCACGACAGAGUGUCUGCUGCAAGUGCUGUUUCUGCUGGUGGGUGAGAAGAGACAAACUGCAUAUCUGAUACAUCCACAGAGGGUGGUGACGCACUGAACAGGUUGCCCAAGGAGGCUGUGGAUGCCCCAUCCCUGCAGGCAUUCAAGGCCAGGCUGGAUGUGGCUCUGGGCAGCCUGGGCUGCUGGUUGGCGACCCUGCACAUAGCAGGGGGUUGGAACUGGAUGAGCAUUGUGCUCCUUUUCAAGCCAGGCCAUUCUAUGAUUCUGUGAUACAUCUGGGCACUAAGGAAGCUAAACCACAUAAUCCUGGUCAGUCCUCCUGUGAUGAUGAUGGUUUUCCCAGGAGAUGUCUUAAAAAAUUAACAAGGUCAUUUUCUUCACAAAACUUUCCAAGCCUCAUUUCAGCCAAGCUGAAGGGAGCACUGCUCUGAUCUGUUUCUGACUUAUUCGUGUGUGUGACGUGUGAUGCUGGGGCUGCUACCAGUGGGCUCCUCAGAUCCGUGGAGGAAUCGGGCUGUCCCUGGGAGAGACUGUCUUUAUAGCAGUGAUAAGAUGGAAAGGAUCAUGGCAGAGACCAAACGGAUAAAGGCAGGAAUACUACAAGGAACAGCAUGCCGAAGGCAGAAUAUUUAAAGCUGCAUUAGAGGCAUUCUUUUCUGUCUGUUCAGAAGUUACCUUCCAUAGCCAAGUCCUUUAGCAGUAGAUGGUCUUUUCUCUACAGAAGAAAGAGCCUUCCAGAAGCGGGUACUCCACGCCUCUUGCCCAAGUCCACUUUGUUAAUAUUGCAAAAUUGCAGUCGAACUAAGCUGAUUAAGUGGUGCUGUAGAUUUGACACACAGAAACAAUGUUGUUAAUCUGGCAGCCAAAUAUAUUGGAGGGAAAAUGAGGUAACAGAAAACCAUAAAUUCCAUCCAGAAAUAUUUUUUCCUUAUUAAAAAAAAAAAAAAAAAACACAAUGAAACAUGUCUAGAAAGUCUUUCUUUCAAAAAAAGAAAAACAACAAAGACCAGCACUGGAACAGGAGGAUAUCAGAUUUUAUUUAAGCAAAGAAAGAAUGCAAGCACAACAUAAAUUUGGUAUUUAAAAAAACCCAACCUGCGUUAUUACAUUUGAGAAGUUUCUUGGAGUGAUCUGCAGGUUCCAUGGGAAUGAUCUGCACAUGCUGCAUUCAUAGCUGAAAAGGAAGCUAAAUUCCUUUCUGUUCGUAAUGCAAUCAUCUUACAAGGUAUUUUUUAUUAAAUUAGACCCAUGUGACUAAAUUGCUACCGAUGCCUUUUGUGAAUGCUCCUAAAUCAUCAGCUAAAUAGCAGCUGAUCUAAGUUUGGCAAAAGGAAGAAAUGAAGUUUUGGAAAAUGAUCUUCUUGUUCCUGAUAGCAAUCAAUCAGAAUGGGUUACUUGCAUACAGUCUUUUUUUUAAAAGCACCAUAAUAACGGGAGGGCUGCGGAUCUUUCUUGUGUUAGCAGAGGAAAAAGAAAAAGGUACAGUCCAUAGUUUGAGCUUAAACAUGCUAUGGAUGUUCAGGUUUAUAUAUAUGUGUGUGUGUGUCUGUGUGUAUGUAUAUAAAUUUUAUAUAUGUAUAUCUAUGUAAAAUGUUUAUAUAUUUUUUAUAUAUAUAAAUACAUGUUAAUCAUCUGGAUCUUUAAGGUAUGCAGCAGGAUGAAAAGAUUGCUGUCUCCACUUAUUUCUAGCAUCACUAGAAGCAAAAGCAAAGCAUACACUGGCUUACCUGACCAAUCAGUGAAUUGUUUUCUUCUGUCAUUUCCUGUUUAAUUCAUGCUUUUGAUAGCUAUUCUUUGUCUUCAGAGAAAUCUUUCCUGUGUUCUAGGGGUCUCCUUCAAAGCAGCACACAGACAAUUGGGACAUUUUGGUAUUUAGGGCAUGUCCCCAGCUUUCAUGUGCUCUUCCUUACCUUUCAUGUUUGUUUUUUCCCAUUGUCAGAACCUGCAGUGCCUCCUCUUCGGUAUCCCUGGCAGCAGCUGGGAGUGCAUUCCCUUCAGAGGUGGGCGGCCCUUCUGUCCAUGCUGUUUUCCAGACACUGGGGAAAGGGAGUACUAGGCAUAGACCUGGCAAAGUGGGAUCAGGCUUAUAUAUUUGUAUACAUGCAUUAAAAAACAUUUUAAUUCUUAUAGGCAAUCUUACUAGCGUUUGGUUUGGAGAACAUACAUUGCUAAUAGAUAGCAGUAUGCAUCUGUUAAAUUUUAUGGGAUUUGGGGGCAGUUGUGAUUUAAUUUGUUUCUGGGAGUUCCAUCAAAAGAGAAAUCCUUUGUAAAGCUGCAGGUGUUAAAAUUAGACAAAAAUACUUUCUGUUCUGGGAAAUUAUAUGCACUUACAGCAAUUGAAUGUUGAAGUUGAAAUGCAAGGAGAAAAUGAAAGUCUUAAUAACCUGCUAACUAUAAUUUUGAGCUUUCAUAGAAACAGAUUUCCUGGCCCUUCCUUGUGGUUCCUUUGAAUAAAUAAGACAUUUACAGAUCCAUGGAAGCUCCCAUGUAGUGUCAACCCAACUAGUUUAGUUUUGUUAAAUCUGGAAGUUCAUUUUGUACGUGAGUUCCUGCUUACUGCAGUGUAUGUAAACUUAGUGUUUUAUAUUUAUGUAUAAUGUAUGGUAAGUCAAUUACAGUGACCAGGUGAACAAGAGUAGUGCUGAGGAGCACAGAACAGUAGUGCUGGUAACAAGAGGGAGUAAGGCUGUUUACGAGGGUGGAUAGUGAUAGGACAAGGGGGAAUGGUUUUAAACUGAGACAGGGGAGGUUUAGGUUGGAUAUGAGGAGGAAGUUUUUCCCCCAGAGGGUGGUGACGCACUGAACAGGUUGCCCAAGGAGGCUGUGGAUGCCCCAUCCCUGCAGGCAUUCAAGGCCAGGCUGGAUGUGGCUCUGGGCAGCCUGGGCUGCUGGUUGGCGACCCUGCACAUAGCAGGGGGUUGGAACUGGAUGAGCACUGUGGGCCUUUUCAACCCAGGCCAUUCUAUGAUUCUGUGACUUUGCCUGUUGGUAUCCAAAACGUGGUACAAAACUUUGCAGUUUGCACUAAUUUUGCGGCAGUUAAAUGAAUGGAAAGAUACUGCUGAACUUCUGUUCAACCCUUGUAAUAUCAGCCAAUUAAUACAAUUUUUCUGUUGCACUUGAUUGCCUUUUCAGUUCUUUAAAGACAAAAUAAACAAGAGGUGUAUCUGAAGAGAGAUGGAUUUGUUUUUCUUUUGCCGUGUAAUCAUCACAGAUUCAUAUGUUCUUACAUUUCUGGCAUUUUCUGCCUCCCCUAAAUGUUUCCAGUUGAGUUUUGGAGGUGGG
ensembl:lncRNA